GGAAGGAAGGAUCUGGCUUCUACAUAUGUCAUUGCAUUGAUGGCCAGGGUUCAUUUCGCUCAUUGGCUGGCUUGGCAGAUGUCCCCUUUCUCCCCCACUGUUCCAUGUGUGUCCCGUUUGAAGCUGAGAGCUCAAAGAAGAUGACCUUUCCCAAAUAGAGACGACUGGUUUUUGGUAGAGGGUAUAUAGUAGCUGCACUCCCCUGCUAAAAUCUCCAAACAAGUUCUCAAGAAAGGAAACGUUAAUUGCUGCCAUGUGUCAGACACUGGAAAUGAAUAAGGAUGAGGAAGAAAUGGUCCCCACUGC
ensembl:misc_RNA 7SK 7SK RNA